AGUCCGGGCAUCGACUAAUCAGGCUACCGGUUUUACGGUUGGCAGAGCCAAAAAAACCGGGAAUCAAAACUGUGCUAGCGAAAAUGAAUCCCGCCUCAGGGAGUCCUUUACGCGAAAUUAAAUCUGAGGAUACACUCGUAGAAGCUUUUGCUGGUUUGCCUGCGGACAGGGGUUCGACUCCCCUCGCCUCCACCA
rnacentral:tmRNA from 1 species